rnacentral:misc_RNA from 1 species
CUUUGGUUGUUCGUUUUGCUGAUCCCAAAAAACGCAAAACUGGAGAAUUAAGGGGAAAUUAUGCAUUUGGCGGACAGAACUUUGGUCCAUGUUCUCAUGAACCAUUAAGUAGGCCAACACCCAACUUUGGUGAUUCCAUGGGAGGGCGUGUUUUGCCUAAUGCUUCGUACACAUUGCAAGAAAUUUCCCCAAAUUCACAACCACAAACUGUUUCCCAUGCUGUAGAACUCGCACUUGGAGCUCCUCAUAUCACAGAACAAUCACUUCCUCCAGUAAAGCAGCCACCAACACAGUUGUUUCAGAUGCCAUUACAACAAACACAAGCUCCACACAAAUGUUUGCAAUCAUCUCAACAAGCCGUCUCUGAGAUGAAGAAACAGCCUCAAAAUUUAGAGCAGCAUCAAGGUGUGCAGGUUACCCCCGA